rnacentral:tRNA from 1 species
AAGGGCAUAGCUUAAUUAAAGUGUCUGCUUUGCAUGCAGAAGAUGUGGGAUAGUGUCCCGCUGUUCUUA